CUGAAUUAUCACUCUCCCCAUCACUCUCCACAGGGGCAGGAGGAACUAAGCUGUUCUCAUCUAAAAAAUAACAGUGUUAAAACUAUAGAAACAACUCUUUUUCUAGAAACAGCUUUUUAUGGAAAGGAGCCAAACUCCCCCUUCACCAGUGGACCAUCCUCACCUUUCUUUGGAGCAGUUUUGGGCCACACAUCUGCUUUUGCUUUUCCAACCCUCAGCAUCUGCCAAAGUGGGAAAGAAGUGGGGGAGAGAAUUUAAGUAGCUAGUCCAACUUCUUUUCCAGACCUACCUUGACUGACUGGAGAAGCACAGAACCAACUAUCACCUUUGAAAAGAUUUUCCAGGAAAUGGGUAAAGAACACUGCACAGAAGGCACAAGAGAUUCUUACUGAGACCCUCAAAUUGGGAAUUCUGACUUUCUGGGACCCCUUCACUUUGUGUACCAUGAGUGGAAGCAGUCUGAAGCACUCACCAGAUGCCCAGUUCUCCAGCCGGCAGAGUCAUGAGCCAAAUAAACUUUUUUUUUUUUUUUU